rnacentral:rRNA from 1 species
AUGCACGCUGGCGGCGUGCCUAAUACAUGCAAGUCGAGCGAACGGACGAGAAGCUUGCUUCUCUGAUGUUAGCGGCGGACGGGUGAGUAACACGUGGAUAACCUACCUAUAAGACUGGGAUAACUUCGGGAAACCGGAGCUAAUACCGGAUAAUAUUUUGAACCGCAUGGUUCAAAAGUGAAAGACGGUCUUGCUGUCACUUAUAGAUGGAUCCGCGCUGCAUUAGCUAGUUGGUAAGGUAACGGCUUACCAAGGCAACGAUGCAUAGCCGACCUGAGAGGGUGAUCGGCCACACUGGAACUGAGACACGGUCCAGACUCCUACGGGAGGCAGCAGUAGGGAAUCUUCCGCAAUGGGCGAAAGCCUGACGGGGCAACGCCGCGUGAGUGAUGAAGGUCUUCGGAUCGUAAAACUCUGUUAUUAGGGAAGAACAUAUGUGUAAGUAACUGUGCACAUCUUGACGGUACCUAAUCAGAAAGCCACGGCUAACUACGUG